CCUACGGGUGGCAGCAGUGGGGAAUAUUGGGCAAUGGGCGCAAGCCUGACCCAGCAACGCCGCGUGAAGGAAGAAGGCUUUCGGGUUGUAAACUUCUUUUCUCAGGGACGAAGAAAGUGACUGUACCUGAGGAAUAAGCCACGGCUAACUACGUGCCAGCAGCCGCGGUAAUACGUAGGUGGCAAGCGGUAUCGGGAUUUAUUGGGUGUAAAGGGCGGGUAGGCGGGAGCGCAAGUCAGAUGUGAAAACUCAGGGCUCAACCCUGAGACUGCAUUUGAAACUGUGUGUCUUGAGUGCUGGAGAGGAAAGCGGAAUUCCGGGUGUAGCGGUGAAAGGCGUAGAUAUACGGAGGAACACCAGUGGCGAAGGCGAAUUGCUGGACAGUAACUGACGCUGAGGCGCGAAAGCGUGGGGAGCAAACAGGAUUAGAUACCCUGGUAGUC
rnacentral:rRNA from 1 species